CAGCAGCCGCGGUAAUACGUAGGUGGCAAGCGUUGUCCGGAAUUAUUGGGCGUAAAGGGCUCGCAGGCGGUUUCUUAAGUCUGAUGUGAAAGCCCCCGGCUCAACCGGGGAGGGUCAUUGGAAACUGGGAAACUUGAGUGCAGAAGAGGAGAGCGGAAUUCCACGUGUAGCGGUGAAAUGCGUAGAGAUGUGGAGGAACACCAGUGGCGAAGGCGACUCUCUGGUCUGUAACUGACGCUGAGGAGCGAAAGCGUGGGGAGCGAACAGGAUUAGAUACCCGAGUAGUCCCUGUCUCUUAUAU
rnacentral:rRNA from 1 species